GGCUGGGUAGCUCAGUGGAUUGAGAGCCAUUUCUAGAGGUGGGAGGUCCUAGGUUCGAAUCCAGCCUCAGCCA
rnacentral:tRNA from 1 species